rnacentral:rRNA from 1 species
UACGAAGGGGACUAGCGUUGUUCGGAAUCACUGGGCGUAAAGCGCACGUAGGCGGAUCGUUAAGUGAGGGGUGAAAUCCCAGGGCUCAACCCUGGAACUGCCUUUCAUACUGGCGAUCUAGAGUCCGGAAGAGGUGAGUGGAACUCCUAGUGUAGAGGUGGAAUUCGUAGAUAUUAGGAAGAACACCAGUGGCGAAGGCGGCUCACUGGUCCGGUACUGACGCUGAGGUGCGAAAGCGUGGGGAGCAAACAGG